GCCCGGCCGGGGGAAGCCGGGGGAGGAGGGGAACCGAGGCCCGGCCGGAGACACCAGAGACCAGGCCCGGCCAGCCCCGGUCGCUUCCGACCCCAGGGGCGGGGACAGCGCCGAGACCGACUCUGCCCUGCCUGAUCCGACAGGCCGCACGGGGCUGGGCGCUGGCGAAGGGGUGGCCCAGCGGGGAGCCCCGCGCGGAGGUGGUGCCCCACUCGUCCCCCCGAGAGAGGGAAAAGGCUACAAGCCGCGCUUCGCUCACCUGUCCCGCCCGCGCCAUCGCGCGAUGCGUCGCCGACGCUUCCACGACUUCCGCAGCUCCGGCAGUCGCCCGGGCCCGGCAGCCCCGCCCCUGGCCGAACACCCCUAAACCCGGGGACACCUCCUCCGGCGUCCGCGCCUAGCCGCCGGCAGCGCCACGCCCACCGCCAGCGGCGCAGCGAGGCAGCCUGGAGUGACCGCGACCAAGGAGCGGCCGCCCGGGUCAGCCCGCGCCGCCCGCCGCCCCCUCACCCCGUCGCACCGCUGGGAAAGCGCACGGUCGGCCGCGCCGCCGCGCUUCCUCGGGCUUCGCGACCCUGCCGUAAAGCGGCCCCUCGCGCCGUCGCAAUGCUGCCGUGCGCCGCGGGAGCCAGGGGGCGUGGGGCCAUGGUGGUCUUGCGGGCGGGGAAGAAGACCUUUCUCCCCCCUCUCUGCCGCGCCUUCGCCUGCCGCGGCUGUCAACUCGCUCCGGAGCGCGGCGCCGAGCGCAGGGAUACGGCGCCCAGCGGGGUCUCAAGAUUCUGCCCUCCAAGAAAGUCUUGCCAUGAUUGGAUAGGACCCCCAGAUAAAUAUUCAAACCUUCGACCUGUUCACUUUUACAUACCUGAAAAUGAAUCUCCAUUGGAACAAAAGCUUAGAAAAUUAAGACAAGAAACACAAGAAUGGAAUCAACAGUUCUGGGCAAACCAGAAUUUGACUUUUAGUAAGGUAA
rnacentral:lncRNA from 1 species